rnacentral:rRNA from 1 species
CGAAGGGGGCUAGCGUUGCUCGGAAUUACUGGGCGUAAAGGGCGCGUAGGCGGACAUUUUAGUCAGAGGUGAAAGCCCAGGGCUCAACCUUGGAAUUGCCUUUGAUACUGGAUGUCUUGAGUUCGGGAGAGGUGAGUGGAAUGCCGAGUGUAGAGGUGAAAUUCGUAGAUAUUCGGCGGAACACCAGUGGCGAAGGCGACUCACUGGCCCGAUACUGACGCUGAGGCGCGAAAGCGUGGGGAGCAAACAGGAUUAGAUACCCUGGUAGUCCACGCCGUAAACGAUGAGUGCUAGUUGUCGGCAUGCAUGCAUGUCGGUGACGCAGCUAACGCAUUAAGCACUCCGCCUGGGGAGUACGGUCGCAAGAUUA